rnacentral:rRNA from 1 species
GACGAACCGUGCGAACGUUGUUCGGAUUCACUGGGCUUAAAGGGCGCGUAGGCGGCCAAUCAAGUCAGGGGUGAAAGCCUCCAGCUCAACUGGAGAAGUGCCUUUGAUACUGACUGUCUCGAGGGAGGUAGGGGCAUGUGGAACUUCCGGUGGAGCGGUGAAAUGCGUAGAUAUCGGAAGGAACGCCGGUGGCGAAAGCGACGUGCUGGACCUCUUCUGACGCUGAGGCGCGAAAGCUAGGGGAGCAAACGGG